rnacentral:tRNA from 1 species
ACCCGGCUGGCUCAGUUGGUGGAGCGUGUGACUCUUGAUCUCAGGGUUGUGAGUUCAAGCCCCAUGUUGGGUG